rnacentral:rRNA from 1 species
GACGGACGCUGGCGGCGUGCUUAACACAUGCAAGUCGAACGCUGAACCACUUUCGGGUGGGGAUGAGUGGCGAACGGGUGAGUAACACGUGGGUAAUCUGCCCUGCACUCUGGGAUAAGCCUUGGAAACGAGGUCUAAUACCGGAUAUCACCUCCCUUCGCAUGGAGGGUGGUUGAAAGCUCCGGCGGUGCAGGAUGAACCCGCGGGCUAUCAGCUUGUUGGUGGGGUAGUGGACUACCAAGGCGACGACGGGUAGCCGGCCUGAGAGGGUGACCGGCCACACUGGGACUGAGACACGGCCCAGACUCCUACGGGAGGCAGCAGUGGGGAAUAUUGCACAAUGGGCGCAAGCCUGAUGCAGCGACGCCGCGUGAGGGAUGACGGCCUUCGGGUUGUAAACCUCUUUCGCCAGGGACGAAGCGCAAGUGACGGUACCUGGAUAAGAAGCACCGGCUAACUACGUGCCAGCCGCCGCGGUAAAAC